UCUGUGUCAAAAAGGGUAAUACUUUUUAGGAAACCUUUACUUUUUGGCGGCCUUAUUUCUUAUUAAAGGAACUUGCCCUUUAAUCGAAAUUACCCGAUCAGUUUUUCUUCUAUUUUGUUUUUAUACCGUCGUCUAAAGAAUAUUAUUAAACUAAUUACUCCAAACUGAAUAUUCAGGAAAGUCAGAUCAAGGUGAAGCUUAUAUGGGAGAUCAGGGUGAGUUAUACAUUAGUACUACUAAAGGAGUUGUCUUUAAAAAGUUACUCGAAUUAAGAUUCAACAGUACCUAAAAGUUAAUAAUUUUUAGGGAAGAAGUAAAAAAAGGUGU
rnacentral:rRNA from 1 species